GACGUAGGGGGCCAGCGUUGCUCGGAAUUACUGGGUGUAAAGGGUUCGUAGGCGGUGUGGCAAGUCGGGAGUGAAAUCUCUGGGCUCAACCCAGAGUCUGCUUCCGAAACUGCUGUGCUUGAGUGUGGGAGAGGCGCGUGGAAUUGCAGGUGUAGCGGUGAAAUGCGUAGAUAUCUGCAGGAACACCCGUGGCGAAGGCGGGUCUCUGGGCCGAUACUGACGCUGAGGAGCGAAAGCGUGGGGAGCGAACAGG
rnacentral:rRNA from 1 species